rnacentral:lncRNA from 1 species
UCUCGUCAAAGGACAAGCCGUCAUCCACUAGGAGCUAUCUUCUUACAUCUUUCCCAACUAGAUAGGGGAGGAAAAAUAAAUAACCCAAAUGACAAGGAAAACAGAUACCUCUCAGAGAUAAAAAACUUAACGAGACACUUGAUGCAAAAUGCGUGUCAAUACAAAUACACUAUGGACCAUACAGACUUCAUUUACUUUUCUCUUUUUCUUUUCUUUUUACUUUUACUUUUACCAAUUACAUAUUAU